GAUGAACGCUAGCGGCAGGCUUAACACAUGCAAGUCGAGGGGUAGGAGAAGCUUGCUUUUCUGAGACCGGCGCACGGGUGCGUAACGCGUAUGCAAUCUACCUUUCACAGAGGGAUAGCCCAGAGAAAUUUGGAUUAAUACCUCAUAGUAUAAUUGAAUGGCAUCAUUUAAUUAUUAAAGAUUUAUCGGUGAAAGAUGAGCAUGCGUCCCAUUAGCUAGUUGGUAUGGUAACGGCAUACCAAGGCAACGAUGGGUAGGGGUCCUGAGAGGGAGAUCCCCCACACUGGUACUGAGACACGGACCAGACUCCUACGGGAGGCAGCAGUGAGGAAUAUUGGACAAUGGGCGCAAGCCUGAUCCAGCCAUGCCGCGUGCAGGAUGACGGUCCUAUGGAUUGUAAACUGCUUUUAUACAGGAAGAAACACCUCUACGUGUAGAGACUUGACGGUACUGUAAGAAUAAGGAUCGGCUAACUCCGUGCCAGCAGCCGCGGUAAUACGGAGGAUCCAAGCGUUAUCCGGAAUCAUUGGGUUUAAAGGGUCCGUAGGCGGUCAGGUAAGUCAGUGGUGAAAGCCCAUCGCUCAACGGUGGAACGGCCAUUGAUACUGUCUGACUUGAAUUAUUAGGAAGUAACUAGAAUAUGUAGUGUAGCGGUGAAAUGCUUAGAGAUUACAUGGAAUACCAAUUGCGAAGGCAGGUUACUACUAAUUGAUUGACGCUGAUGGACGAAAGCGUGGGUAGCGAACAGGAUUAGAUACCCUGGUAGUCCACGCCGUAAACGAUGGAUACUAGCUGUUGGGAGCAAUCUCAGUGGCUAAGCGAAAGUGAUAAGUAUCCCACCUGGGGAGUACGAACGCAAGUUUGAAACUCAAAGGAAUUGACGGGGGCCCGCACAAGCGGUGGAGCAUGUGGUUUAAUUCGAUGAUACGCGAGGAACCUUACCAAGGCUUAAAUGUAGAUUGACCGGUUGGAAACAGAC
rnacentral:rRNA from 1 species